rnacentral:sRNA from 3 species
CCCGAGCGAAGCGAGAGAACGUUGCGUCAGCAACGGCCCGCAGGGCGAGCCACGCAGUGGCGAGUCAUCCUCUAUCACCGACCA